GGGGUGUGUUUGGUGGAUAUAGGGACAUUAAGGGAUGUGGGAACACAGGCUGCAGGAGCAGAAUGCUGUUCAGGAGAAGACAAGACGUGGGCUGCAGGUGGGACACAGGGGUAUGGGGUAGUAUGGGGACAUAGAGAGUAUGGGAGGAUGUGGGGAGUGGUUUGAGGUAAAAAGAGGUUGGGGGGGGCAGUGUUGGAGUGGUUUCAUUUCAUCCUGAGAGGAGACUGGGCGUCCCUGUGGCCCAAAGGUGGGGCCCUGAGACGUAACCCCACAUGAGCCAUAACCCAAGAUGACCUCAUCACCCUGUAUGUGCGUGACCCCAUGGCUGCACGUGACCCGCAGCACUGGGGGAACCAUACCCCCACAUGACCCUGUGACGCCCUGACUCUGCCUGCCCCCAUCACGCUGUGACCCAAUGCCAUGUGCCCCCAUGACUCUGGCAUCCCUGCCCCCACCUCACCCUGACCAUACAACCCCAUGGGACCAUGAACUCCAUGUCACCCAAUCUGAGCCUAUCACCCCGUAACUCUGACACUGCUGGACCAUCAUGUCACACACGACCCCACGUCCUCACAUCAUGUGGACGUAGAACCAGCUGUGUGUGGGGAAAAGGCAUCUCCUCCUCGGGGUGGGGCAGCCCCACAGCUGCCCCAAAGAAGCCAUGGGGUGGGCUGCAGCCGUACGCCUCAGUUUGGAGAGCUGGGAACUGGCCAAAGGGGCCAGCAGAAGGACAUGAAUGCUCCUGUAGGGAAAUACCUGUCCCAGGGUUUGGUGGGUUGGUAGCUUCUGUUUCUGUAAGUGCAUGAGAACAGAACAAACUGAUCCCACUGAGACUGGGGAAGGGACUGGAGCAUGGCUUGAACCACGAACAGAACAGGGAUGGACUGAAGCAAAUCAACUCCUUCACGGGACAGUGGCAGAAGAAAUCCAAGUCAGCUGCAGAACGAACAACACAACUCCUUA
ensembl:lncRNA